ensembl:lncRNA
GAUGAACUUCACAGGGUGGUGAAAAUUCAAGUUCCCAGUUGUCUUGAAGACACCAUAAAUCCAGAGAAUGACAGACUUUGAUAAAGUCUGAUGACAAAUUUGCCCACGAAAGACCACAGCGCCACCUUCUUGUUCAAGUGAGCACAACAAGGAUAAAGUUUGAAAACCAGCUCCAGCAGCAGAUAGAAGAGAAUAAGCACAUUCAUGAAGCCCAAACAGACUGUCUGCUGAAAUAGAGAGGAUAGAAAACACCAAGUCUCAGCUGUUGAAAGCUGGUUUGAACCUCUACACAUGAUGACUGUAGUGUACUGUAGACUUUAACAUGGGGCUAGUGCACCAUCGGGUGUGCAACUAUGAUGUAUCUGUGCUUGAUAUGAGUGUGUGCAUGCGUGUGUUCAUAGAACAACUGAAGUUGUCUCAGCUCUGCUAUCUAGAGGAGGUGCUGGAUGAGGCCAAGAGACAGAGACAACAGACACACACAAAGACUAAACCCUGGAACUACACACUGAUAGUGGC